rnacentral:rRNA from 1 species
CCUACGGGGGGCAGCAGUGAGGAAUAUUGGUCAAUGGGCGCAAGCCUGAACCAGCCAAGUCGCGUGAGGGAUGACGGUCCUAUGGAUUGUAAACCUCUUUUGUCGGGGAGCAAGGCCCGCCACGUGUGGCGGGAAGGAGAGUACCCGGAGAAAAAGCAUCGGCUAACUCCGUGCCAGCAGCCGCGGUAAUACGGAGGAUGCGAGCGUUAUCCGGAUUUAUUGGGUUUAAAGGGUGCGCAGGCGGGCUGUUAAGCCGGCGGUAAAAAUUCAGGGCUCAACCCUGUCGAGCCGUCGGAACUGGCAGUCUUGAGUGGGCGAGAAGUAUGCGGAAUGCGUGGUGUAGCGGUGAAAUGCAUAGAUAUCACGCAGAACGCCGAUUGCGAAGGCAGCAUACCGGCGCCCAACUGACGCUGAGGCACGAAAGCGUGGGGAUCGAACAGGAUUAGAUACCCUUGUAGUC